GAAGGAACUCCCCGGCCUGAGGGCACAGGAAGGUGCUGGGACCCUGGGCAGCCCAGUCCUGGUGCCCACAGCACUUCACCCCAGGAAGCUGCCUCUCCACCGUCCAGGCCAGCCUGAUCCUGGGAGGCCCUUGCUAUGUUUUUGCACCUCUGAGGCUGCUCAGGGAUGGGUGUACCCUCAUCCCGAAGGACCCAGGAAGGAGGCCCCGCUGACCUUGCUCUCAGAGUACUGGAACAGUUCCAUGGCCUCAUCCACCAGGCCCUCCUCAUAGCCCUGCUGCAGCAGCCUCUCCCGAGCGCUCAGGUAGCCGAGAAACUGGACAGAAGUGGGCAGAGAGGGUGGGAUGGUAAGAAGACAAGCAGUAGAUGGUGUGCAGUUUGAGCUCAAGACCAAGGGAGCUGGGAAACCCCCCUGCAUGCAACAGGGCCCAGAGAUCCCAGGAGCCAAAACAGAAGCAGAGGCCCCCCUUUAAAGACCUCAGGACAACUGGACUGUGGUCCCCACCACUGUCCCAAGGUGGGGGCUGGAGUCCAGGAAAGGGCCUUUCAGAGAGUGGGGACAUACACACUCCCCGAUCCCGGUAAGCACCCACUGUGAGGGGCCCCUCCCCACCCUGACAUCUCCAUCCCCAGGACUCCCUGAGCCUCUAUAGCUGGGGGAGAGGCAGUGGGCAGGGGCCCACAGGGGCCAUAUCCUCUGUGUCAAUCCCUGUUCAAAUCACUGGGGCUCCUUUACCCUCUGGAGAGGGUGAGUAGAGAUGGUGGACGCUGAAGGGCCUGUUCCACCCUGUCCCAGCCACGGGCUGCCUCAGCACAGGCCAGCGCUGGCCCCUCUGGGAAGCCUCUGCCACCUGGGUCUCCACUGGCUGUGUCCCUGAGCUCCUUUUGUGGCACACAGAGCCCUGUGAUUGCUCCACUUCCUCUUUGUCCUCUCUCACUUCCUGCCCCACGUGAGAGGGGCUGGUUGGUCUUGCCUGUCACUGUGUCCCCAGCCCCAGCAUGGCAGUUGGAAGGAGCUCUUAAAUAAACAGAUGCUGCAUUUA